rnacentral:rRNA from 1 species
GACGAACGCUGGCGGCGUGCCUAAUACAUGCAAGUAGAACGCACAGUUUAUACCGUAGCUUGCUACACCAUAGACUGUGAGUUGCGAACGGGUGAGUGACGCGUAGGUAAUCUGCCUGGUAGCGGGGGAUAACUACUGGGCACGUUAGCUAAUACCGCUUAAUCUUGAUUAUUCCAUGAUAAUUGACUGUAUGACUCUAUUGUAUCACUACCUGAUGGCCCUGCGUUGUAUUAGGUAGUAGGGGAGGUAACGGGUCACCUAGGGGACGGCACAUAGCCGACCUGGGAGGGUGGUCCGCCACCCUGGGACUUGGACACGGCCCAGGCUCCUACGGGGAGCAGCAGUAGGGAAUCUUCGGCAAUGGACGAAAGUCUGACCGGACAAAGCCGCGUGAAGUAAGGAAGUUUUCGGAUCGUAAAGCUCUGGUGUAAGGGAAGAACGGGUUUGGGAGUGGAAAGUGCACACUGUGACGGUAUCUUACCAGAAAGGCACGGCUAACUACGUG